CCUACGGGAGGCAGCAGUGGGGAAUAUUGCACAAUGGGGGCAACCCUGAUGCAGCGACGCCGCGUGAGUGAAGAAGUAUCUCGGUACGUAAAGCCCUAUCAGCCGGGAAGAUAAUGACGGUACCUGACGAAGAAGCCCCGGCUAACUACGUGCCAGCAGCCGCGGUAAUAGGUAGGGGGCACGCGUUAUCCGGAUUUAUUGGGGGUAAAGGGAGCGUAGGUGGGAGCACAAGUCUGGAGUGAAAUCCCGGGGCUUAAACCCGGAACCGCUGUGGAAACUGGCGGGCUGGAGUGGAGGAGGGGUAAGCGGAAUUCGUGGUGUAGCGGUGAAAUGCGUAGAUAUUAGGCGGAACACCGGUGGCGAAGGCGGCUUACUGGACUGCAACUGACGUUGAGGCUCGAAAGCGUGGGGAGCGAACAGGAUUAGAUACCCUUGUAGUC
rnacentral:rRNA from 1 species